UCGCAAGCCAUUGCCGAGUCUUCAGGACUUCUCACAUUUAUUAAUCUUGACUAUUUAGUACAUAUGUUAAUACUUUUAUGAGCCAUACGGCUCAUGAGAGUGUUAACAUGUAAAUGCUUAGCAUGUUUGUUAAAAUGAUUUUAUUUUUACAGGGGCCAUGCGGCGGCGACCGCUGAAUCACCGAGUCGUCUUGUAUAAGUAUAUUUUGUAUCUCUUGUUUUUUUUUUUGUCUAAAACAUAAAUAACUGAACUAGACACUGUUUUAGUCCAGCUACUUAUGUACGUUUUAUCAAUGUGUAGAUUAUUUAAAAUUUUAAUAUUAAUUUUCUUUUUUUUUUCUGUGACAAAAAACAUAAAUAAUUGGACUAGACACGCUUAGUCCAAGUAUGUACGUUUUUUUUAAUCACUGGAGGAGGGUGGGUUUGGUGGGACGCCACGUCAGGAAACCUCCUCGAGAGCCUAGGCACUCCCAAUUCCUCUUGAUUCUAUUGAUCAGCAGGAAACGGAAGGGUCUGGGCCGGUGCGCCCUGGGGGUAACGGUAAAUAAUUUCUUGAUGUGAAAAAAGAGGAUUGUUUACUGGUGCUGCUAAUGUCCUGAUACAGGGGUUUGCAUGUUGCCUUAUAUUUAGGUUACAGGUUGCCUUCAUCCACUUUGAGUAUCAAACAGCAAGUCCUCGUGAACAAUCUGGCUGCCAUAAUUGACAAAAGGCAACAAAGAUGUGGAAGUAAAUUGAAUUUUAUUACUUACAUACCUACUUAUUUGCUAUUUUACAUCGUGAGGAAACCUGACCCAAAUGAAAAGUUUUGCCAUAAUUUUCUUCUCUCCUCAGGUGUAUUGACUACAGGAGAGUCUACAAUCAAUAUCCUGUGUGACAUGAUGAUCGGUGCGCCUGCACUGUCGCCACAGCAUUACCGACCGGCGACCAGCCUUCGCGCGCCUGCACGGCCUAAGUCAUCGCCAAGUGUGGCCCUCGUCGUGUGUGCCUUUCACGCCAAUAGAUUAGGCCUCCAGCACCAGUCCAUGAACCAGCGCUGCCACCUGCGUUUGCGCUCCGUCCCUCGCACCUUCAGGGCAUGCUCUCUACAACACUGCCAGCGCCCUCCGUGUCUCCACUGGAGCUCUGUAACGGCGUUCCUCAAAAACGGCAACUGGUGUUAGAUCUCCAAUUGACAUGAUGGACCUAUGAUAAUAUUUUUACUUUACGCAGACGACCUGAAGCUCAUACGUUGCAUAAAUAACUCCAUGGACUGUGACCUAUUACUGCAAGUUAUUGAUGCUUUGCUCUGCUGGAGUAAGAAGAACAAAUUACUCUUUAAUUCUCUUUAAUCUAUCUAAGUGCAGCGUAAUGACCUUUAGCCGUGCUCAGUCUCCAUCCCCCCCCCCGACUCACGUGUUUGUGUAUGUAUGUAUGUUCGGGAUAAACUCAAAAACCACCGAAUGGAUUUUCAUGCGGUUUUUAUUAUCAAUAGAGUGAUUGUUGAGGAAGUUUUUAGGUGUAUAAUUUGUUUAGGUUUCGUGUAACCCGUGCGAAGCCGGGGCGGGUCGCUAGUUCUUAAUAAUUUUAAAUUAUAAAACUUGUUUUUAUGAGUAUUUCCUAUAACAUAGCUUUUAAUUUUGUUUUUAAUUUGGCAGAUGAUUGUAUAAGUAACUAAAUACUAAAAUGUUAUUUUGUUUCAUUUAAUAAGUAGGUGAUAUGUGUUUAUUUUAGCUAUUUACAAAAACUUAGCUGCCUCUAUGUAAUCGAAGUUACGCUCUCAUUUUGUAAAGAGUAUUGACAUGCUGAACACUGAAGUGAACAGCUAUAACCGACAAGAAAUUGUAGAAAUUAAAAAGUGGCAACAUCGUAGUGUCGUCCCGUUUUCUUAGAUUGAUUUGAAAGGGACGGUCUAUAAAUAACUAUGUCUAGAAUUGGCCAAGAAAAGCUAUUUUGAUAGCAUACGCAAUGCAAGUGUUGGUAUAGCGGCACUUGAUGGUAUAGCGGCCCCUAAAUUGCCAAUUACAUCCACACUUCCCGAUAUCGGGCCUGAUAAUUGUUUUCAGUUUCACGGAAUAUCAGCACAUUAUGUGAAAUGUAGAAAAUACUUUAUCUCUAAUUGUUCAAUGUUUGAUAUUUUUUCAUAUGAUUAUUUGAUGAAACUGAAAAAUAUUCUUUCUCGGGCCCGAAAUCGGGUCCGAUGUCAGCAGAUGUGGCUAUGACCGCGAAAAACGAAGUUAGUCAAUUACGGGCAUUUUUCUGUGUCACUAAUUACGUCUUAGCGAGAGUAAAAGAGAAAGAUCCUCGCGAAUUUCGGUUUUCGCGGUAGGCGCCUAGGCCUAUAAACUGUGGAUGAAAUUGGCACUUAAGUUCACAUGUUUAAAAGUUGGUUCGUUGCCUAAAUCAUGCAAAUACCUAGUGAGUGAAUUGUAAAAAAAAUUGUGACAAGGUAAUAAAAUACGUACAGUGGAUUAGAACUUUUAUUGAAAACUUUUCCUAUGUGAAGAAGAGAAAUACAAUUUUAUUGAAAUUCAAUUUGACAUUACAGCUAACGGGCGCCAAUGCGCUGUAAAAUUAAGUAGUAAUAGAGCUAUAAGCUAGGUAAUAAAAAUACAUAUAUAAUAAAUAUGACAAUAAUUAAAAAGCUGAUUCACAAUAACGUAAAAAAUCUUUAAAAAGUUUAUGAUUUUUGUCAGCAAACAAGUCGCAGUCAGGUGCAAAAAAUAAAAAAUUGUUAAGGAGUGUCUCUUAAUAUUCGUCGAGAAGAGUCGAUUGAUAGACAUUAAAAUUAGUUGUACAUAUAAUAAGUACAAGGGCGUCGAGAAUAAAAUGUAGAAGGCUGACCGCAGAGGCACGGAAUUUUCAUUCAGUUUCCGUAGAAUAAAUGUGAACGGGACGUCGCGGUCUCGCUUGCACAUGUCAUCCGUUGGGAAAAUUACGUGCGUCUGUGGCCGGGGUUAUGCCCCAUAAAUUUAAAAACAUCCUCCAAACGCGAAUACUAGUGUCACAAAUAGGUAUUCUCGCUUCCGCACAUCCAUUUUAUCAAUAUCUUUGGUCAUAAUCUGUGGACCACUUCCACACCACCAGGGCUAUGCCUAAACGCAAAAAUCUAUGUUCGCAAAUUGCAGGCAUCUUCCUCUGUCAUUCUAAUAAAAUAAAUAAUUCAAAUCAGUUUAUUUAUUGCAAUAAAAUUAAAUAAAACUAACUAAAUUAAAUAAUACUAUUAUGAAAUGAAAACUAGUUAAACCUAAAAAUAACAAAGGAAAAAUAAAAAUAUAAUAAAAUUACGUCUCAUUGAUCGGGCAAUUUAAUCAGAUUGACGAAAACUUGUUCCUGUCUGGACUGAUCAUACCAUUAUCUGCUUAUUUUUUGCGCAUGGCAACAUUAUUGAAUCGUAAACUUAAAAAUCGUCGCCCCAUCCCUAGAAUAUCACUCUAUGUGUCAAAUAUUUAUAAUCUGUGGUUUGUAGCGAAAAGUGGACGCCAAUUAUUGGGCUGUACAUUCUUGGGUUGAGCAAUCCCGGGUCGAGCAUUAUCGGUACGGGCCAAUAAUGUGCGACCAAUAUUCGGCGUCCACUAAAUGGAUUCGCAUUAUAGGGUCGUGUAUUAUUGGGUUGAGCGUUAUCAGGCUGUACAAGCUCGGUCCGGGCCAAUAAUACGAAGCCACUGUUUGUACAGGGCAAUAAUGUACAGCCCAAUAAUUGGCGUCCACUUUUCGCUACAAACCACAGAUUAUAAAUAUUUGACACAUAGAGUGAUAUUCUAGGGAUGGGGCGACGAUUUUUAAGUUUACGAUUCAAUAAUGUUGCCAUGCGCAAAAAAUAAGCAGAUAAUGGUAAAAUCAGCCCAGACGGGAACAAGUUUUCGUCAAUCUAAUUAAAUUUUCCGA